GAUGAAGAACGCAGUGAAAUGCGAUAAGUAAUGUGAAUUGCAGAAUUCAGUGAAUCAUCGAAUCUUUGAACGCAUCUUGCGCUCCUUGGUAUUCUGAGGAGCAUGCCUGUUUGAGUGUCAUUAAAUUCUCAACUACACUGACUUUGAAUUGGUGUGGCUUGGAUUUGGGGGGAAAAUUGUUGUGGGCUUUUUGUAUAGUCUGCUCCCCUGAAAUUGAUUAGCGGUACCUUUGUGGAACUGUCUACAGGUGUGAUAAUUAUCUACAUCUUAGACAUCUGCUGGAAUGCUGCUUUCUAAACCUUACUUGUAUUGACAAUCUUGACAUCAAAUCAGGUAGGACUACCCGCUGAACUUAAGCAUAUCAAUAAGCGGAGGA
rnacentral:misc_RNA from 1 species